rnacentral:rRNA from 1 species
GAUGAACGCUGGCGGCGUGCUUAACACAUGCAAGUCGAACGAUGAUGCCCAGCUUGCUGGGUGGAUUAGUGGCGAACGGGUGAGUAACACGUGAGUAACCCGCCCUUGACUCUGGGAUAAGCCUGGGAAACUGGGUCUAAUAUCGGAUACGACCAUCUGGCGCAUGUCAUGGUGGUGGAAAGCUUUUGUGGUUUUGGAUGGACUCGCGGCCUAUCAGCUUGUUGGUGGGGUAAUGGCCUACCAAGGCGACGACGGGUAGCCGGCCUGAGAGGGGGACCGGCCACACUGGGACUGAGACACGGCCCAGACUCCUACGGGAGGCAGCAGUGGGGAAUAUUGCACAAUGGGCGCAAGCCUGAUGCAGCGACGCCGCGUGAGGGAUGACGGCCUUCGGGUUGUAAACCGCUUUCAGUAGGGAAGAAGCGAAAGUGACGGUAACGGCAGAAGAAGCACCGGCUAACUACGUG